AAUCUUCCGCAAUGGACGAAGUCUGACGGAGCAACGCCGCGUGAGUGAGGAAGGUUUUCGGAUCGUAAAGCUCUGUUGCCAGGGAAGAAUAAGCAGAAGAGGAACUGCUUCUGUGAUGACGGUACCUGAGAAGAAAGCCACGGCUAACUACGUGCCAGCAGCCGCGGUAAUACGUAGGGGGCAAGCGUUGUCCGGAAUUAUUGGGCGUAAAGCGCGCGCAGGCGGUAAUUUACGUCUGAUGUAUAAGCCCAAGGCUCAACCUUGGGAGGCAUUGGAAACGGGGUUACUGGAGUACAGGAGAGGAAAGUGGAAUUCCACGUGUAGCGGUGAAAUGCGUAGAGAUGUGGAGGAACACCAGUGGCGAAGGCGACUUUCUGGCCUGAAACUGACGCUGAGGCGCGAAAGCGUGGGGAGCAAACA
rnacentral:rRNA from 1 species